rnacentral:tRNA from 1 species
AAAUAUUCAAUUAAACAAAAUUUUUUGUUUGGGUCAAAAAAUUUUUAUUAAAAAUUUUUA